rnacentral:rRNA from 1 species
GAGAGGUGCUUGCACCUCUUGAGAGCGGCGGACGGGUGAGUAAUGCCUAGGAAUCUGCCUGGUAGUGGGGGAUAACGCUCGGAAACGGACGCUAAUACCGCAUACGUCCUACGGGAGAAAGCAGGGGACCUUCGGGCCUUGCGCUAUCAGAUGAGCCUAGGUCGGAUUAGCUAGUUGGUGAGGUAAUGGCUCACCAAGGCGACGAUCCGUAACUGGUCUGAGAGGAUGAUCAGUCACACUGGAACUGAGACACGGUCCAGACUCCUACGGGAGGCAGCAGUGGGGAAUAUUGGACAAUGGGCGAAAGCCUGAUCCAGCCAUGCCGCGUGUGUGAAGAAGGUCUUCGGAUUGUAAAGCACUUUAAGUUGGGAGGAAGGGCCAUUACCUAAUACGUGAUGGUUUUGACGUUACCGACAGAAUAAGCACCGGCUAACUCUGUGCCAGCAGCCGCGGUAAUACAGAGGGUGCAAGCGUUAAUCGGAAUUACUGGGCGUAAAGCGCGCGUAGGUGGUUCGUUAAGUUGGAUGUGAAAGCCCCGGGCUCAACCUGGGAACUGCAUUCAAAACUGUCGAGCUAGAGUAUGGUAGAGGGUGGUGGAAUUUCCUGUGUAGCGGUGAAAUGCGUAGAUAUAGGAAGGAACACCAGUGGCGAAGGCGACCACCUGGACUGAUACUGACACUGAGGUGCGAAAGCGUGGGGAGCAAACAGGAUUAGAUACCCUGGUAGUCCACGCCGUAAACGAUGUCAACUAGCCGUUGGGAGCCUUGAGCUCUUAGUGGCGCAGCUAACGCAUUAAGUUGACCGCCUGGGGAGUACGGCCGCAAGGUUAAAACUCAAAUGAAUUGACGGGGGCCCGCACAAGCGGUGGA